rnacentral:piRNA from 1 species
UGCGUGCACGAAAAAUGUCGAAGUGAGGUU